UAAUGGGUCAGCGACUUAUAUUCUGUAGCAAGGUUAACCGAAUAGGGGAGCCGGAGGGAAACCGAGUCUUAAUUGGGCGUUAAGUUGCAGGGUAUAGACCCGAAACCCGGUGAUCUAGCCAUGGGCAGGUUGAAGGUUGGGUAACACUAACUGGAGGACCGAACCGACUAAUGUUGAAAAAUUAGCGGAUGACCUGUGGCUGGGGGUGAAAGGCCAAUCAAACCGGGAGAUAGCUGGUUCUCCCCGAAAGCUAUUUAGGUAGCGCCUCGUGAAUUCAUCUCCGGGGGUAGAGCACUGUUUCGGCUAGGGGGCCAUCCCGGCUUACCAACCCGAUGCAAACUGCGAAUACCGGAGAAUGUUAUCACGGGAGACACACGGCGGGUGCUAACGUCCGUCGUGAAGAGGGAAACAACCCAGACCGCCAGCUAAGGUCCCAAAGUCAUGGUUAAGUGGGAAACGAUGUGGGAAGGCCCAGACAGCCAGGAUGUUGGCUUAGAAGCAGCCAUCAUUUAAAGAAAGCGUAAUAGCUCACUGGUCGAGUCGGCCUGCGCGGAAGAUGUAACGGGGCUAAACCAUGCACCGAAGCUGCGGCAGCGACGCUGAUGCGUUGUUGGGUAGGGGAGCGUUCUGUAAGCCUGCGAAGGUGUGUCGUGAGGCAUGCUGG
rnacentral:rRNA from 1 species